CUAAUUUAAUUUGGAAUGAGUGAUUAGGCCAAGUGCAAAAAGGUAAUAUUUACAGUUUUCGGAACAUCUCUUGACUUGUCAAUAGGGGUAUGGAUGUGUAUUGGCUAAAUUUGUAGGAUGUGUGACUGCAAUCUUUCUGAAUUUUGGAUAUAUUUUUGGACUAGUACUAUACAUUACACACACAAAAAAUUUGACAAAAAGAUUCGGUGCAAUUUUUUUAAUGAGACAAAAAGUUAUAAAGAACUGAUAGAGGUAUUAAUUGUGGUCUGUGGCCAAUAA
rnacentral:lncRNA from 1 species